GUUCAAAACAACUGGGAACUCUGAAAAAUACAAGGUCAAUUCAGUGGACGUCAGUGAUCUUCAGGUCGGAAAGACGGAGCUCUAGAAAGAGGCCCGAGUUGGAAAUCCGAGUUGGAUGACCGUUCAAAUCGAUCCUGUCGGAGCUCGUUUUUUUCCUAGUUCCAAAUGGUUUUGAACGCACUGAAGUCCGAAGUCGAGAGUUCCCCAUGCCGCGUUCAAAACAACUGGGAACUCGGAAAUCUCCGACUUCAAAGGACCCGGGAAGAGUUGCAGGGGAAAGAAGAGAACAAUGUGCCUAUUUGAAAGCUAGAAAAAAGUGAGUAGCUCACGACAUGUUUCAUUAGUAGCUCUCAUGCUAGAAAAGGUUGGAUACCUCUGGGCUACACUAUGUAGCUACUUCCAUCUCCUUAAUGUGGCAAGCGGGAGUGAAGGACACUAGUGUGCCCGGUGUUGUUGUGUUGCCUGCUUGCAGCGCAAACUCACCCCAUUGAGCAGUGUUUAUCUGCAGGCCUAUCACGGUGACAUCCAAAUUGUUACUACCAAUAUUACAAGUUAUUUAUCUGUAUUCUGUAUAGGCUUCUAUCCUACUCAAAAUAAAAUGAAUUGGGAUGGAACAAAUUGGAGAUGAUGUCCAAAUACAGAUGGUGACCAAUACUACAAGUUAUUUCUCCCUCGCCCAUAGAAAUAAACCUCACUUUAUUUUACAAGUUUUAACUGGCGCAUUUUCUUGCCAGCAUAAACUUGCUGGGAGGGCUCAUCAGGACGACUGACUGAACCGAAUACAUUCGUCUCCACACUUGACUCUCAGCUGCGCAACCAACAUAAUCGAUUUGGGCACCAGACAUGUCUGUAUAGCCCAGGGAUCAUCAACUAGAUCUAAGCGAGGUUUGAAAUGAUUGUUUUAGUCAAUUAUUAUAUAUGUUUGGACUUCUUGCGGUCAAUUUGAAGUCUACAAAUGAUUUGUAAUUAUGUAAUUAUGUUCCGGCCCCCUGACCAUCUGUCUAGUUGAUGAUCCCUGGGCUAUACGGACACGCCUGGAGUUUUUUCUUGGGCAGAUGGUCAGGGGGCCGGAACGUAAAUACAAAUAAUUCGUAGACUGCACAUUGACCGCAAGAACCCAAAACAUAUAUAAUACUCUGUCACUGUUUUGUUGACCCAUCCUCAGUUUUCUCAUAUCACAACCAUUAAACUCUGUAACUGUUUUAAAAUCACCAUUGCCCUCAUGGUGAAAUCCCUGGUUUUCUUCCUCUCCGGCAACUGAGUACGGAAGUAUACCUGUAUUUUUGUAGUUACUGGGUGUAUUGAUACACCAUCCAAAGCCUAAUUAAUAACUUCACCAUGCUCAAAGGGAUAUUCAGCGUCUGCUUUUUUUGUAUUUUUAUAACAUCUACCAAUCGGUGCCCUUCUUUGUGUUGGCAUUGAAAAACCUCCCUGGUCUUUGUG
rnacentral:lncRNA from 1 species